UUUCCUCCCACCUUAUAGUCACCUUAUGAAGCAGAGACAUGGUGGUUUUGUUGCUUUCAGGGUGUUUUGAGGUCAUAAGAAAUUCAUCCAAGUCUCUUUAAAGGUCAUUGUAGAAAAUAAUUGUACGAAACCUGGAUUUGAUGGCAGCCAAAGGACCUACAUGGAGGAAAUAAAAGAGGGAUCCAGCUGGAGCAGAGAGCUUGUGAAGAGACUUAAAUGUUGGCAGCCCUUUCUCUUGGCAAUGUGGAGAAGACAAUAAGAGGGUUCUUAUGUUCCUUAUGAGCUGUGUUGGAGGGAUAAUUUUAAGACCACUAGGAGACUCUGGAGUAUCACUUUACGCAAGAAGUAAGAAAAUUCAAUCCCCACUUCAGACGAAGAAAGAGAGAGAAACCUAACCUUAACUCUAGAUUCUGCCUAUUCUGCAGCCAGUCCUGCUGAGUAUCUGGUGCCCUUCUGUGAGCCCUGCUGAGCUGAUGUAGCAGGUCUUUUCAUUCUGCUUCAGUGACAACAUGAGGAGCACUGCUGUUCCAGCUCCAGGCUAAUGAGCGCAGCCAAAUUAUGAUCAUCUCCCUCAAAUCAGUAGUGGAGAAUUUUAAUUUCCUGGCCUUCCAGUAGUGUGUUGGGGUUUCAGCUUCAAACACCGUUAGAAAAGGAGACUAAUCCUCUAGUGUUCACAAAACACAAACUAAACAGUGGAAUGCAAACCCAGUGAAGUAAUAAUAUAUGUCUGCUUUAAUGUCAUUUCAAGAUGCCUGUACUAGAAGGAGCUUACCCAUUGCACAAUGAGAUGGUGAUGAAAUCAUCUUUAGUGUGUUUCCCCUAGUUUACUUAGUUAACUUUCAAAAGCAUGCAGCCAUUCUGUCUGAUGACCUAAUGUGGCAUGACUGGAAGCUUAGUUUAUUUUCAACAGCUUCUUAAUGCUAGAACUUGAACCUGUUACAUCUCUGGGUUUUCUAUAGAAGUUGGGCAACCCAUGGCUUGUCAUUUAUGAGAGGUGAAAUUUUCAUCUGAAGCUGCAACUAGGUGGAGAACAUGGUGAAUAGGAUUUGCUUAUAUGACUGAACUAUAAAAAUAGCACAGUGUCUGGAAACAAUUUGAAAAGGCUUUGCCACAUGUACAGCACACCAGGAAAGACAUUCUGGUCUUGAAACCGCUUAAUAGUCCCAUCAGGAAAAUAUGGUUUAACUUUCUGGAGUUUGCAGACACAUGAAUUAUUAUGGACACUGGUGUCAUUGAGGGAUAACAACUUCACUCUCCAUAUCCACCUGUGUAAAUUACAAAGGAAGUGAUACAGGGGCAUGAAGAUUAGUUAAUUUUUGUAUGGCACUUUGAAGUUGAAAAGCUCUAUUGUACAUAUUUUGCUAAAUAUAUUUAAAGUGUAUGUAUUGAUGAUAUAUAUCCUCUCUCUCUCUCUCUCUCUCUCCCUCUCUCUCAUCGUUAGAUAUAUUCUUCGUAAACUUGAAUAGGGCUUGCAGUUUAGAAAAUGCCAGCAUUUUAAGGGUUAGUUAUGUGGCACACACUUCUGGAUUAUUGCUUAAAAAAACACAUGUACACACACAAGAAAGCCAAGAUGCAGUUACAUAAAUGGGCUUUUAUGUGAGCUGAAAAGUUUAAAAAUGAUUAUACUUACAUGCAACUUUACUGAACUAUUGUUUAAGGAAAAUUAAUAAAGAGCCAAUAUUUGUAUGGAAAAGAUUGCCAUUGUAAGAAAAAAAAAGUCUUUUUUAUGUUGUGGGUUUGUUAAAAAUACAAAACAUUUUUGCCUUGGGUUUUCCCCAGAAAUUAAAGGUAAUUUUCAUAGUCAGUAAAGUGAAGCACUGCAGCGAAAAAGACAAAUUGUUCUCUUGACAAAGUAGUAACAUACUUCUAUGUAAACUGCAAGUUUGCAACUGAAGUGAAUUCACAAGAAUUCAGAAUCCAAAGAAAACCACACAGUUGGAUGGACAAAGUGCUAUUAUGUGCUUUCCCUGUCUACUUAUACUUUGGUCAACAAAGACCCAUAACUGGGGAUGGGCUGAAAUCAGAACUGUAGAUCCAAACCAAUCCUCCCCAUUCUGAACUCUUGGGGAUCCAAACUCAGAUCUGCAUCCAUAGUGGAAUUAAUCUACUGGCUCAUUAUUGGGCAUUAUGUCACCUCCCCAAUUUAACAUCCGGCUAAUACAGGGCUCUGUAAACCCUCCAGCACAAGCAAGGGAAGUACAACAUGAGGUCAGAGGGGACCAGGUUCAGGAGAGGGCCAGAGGCUGCUAAGGAACAGGGGCAGCAGGCCAGAGGUAGCAGCCUGCUAGCAGGCUGCUGAACAAAGGCUGAUCAACAAGCAGCCUGGAAACUGGGAAACAG